ACUCCCGUCGCCGGAGGAGCCCUCUUGGGUGCUGGAGGGAAGGAAGGCAGGGAUGGAUGAACAGAUGAGAGGGCUGCAGUGUGUGUUAACUAAGACAUUGAGUCACUUGAUCAGUGAAUACUUAUUAACCAUCUUUUAUAUGAUGGUUUGUAAAAGCUGCACAAUGACUGGCCAGUGACACACUCAAUAAUUGGGGUCACCCAGGCCCUGCCUUCCAGGAGUGCACAGGCUGGCUGCUCGGAUACAGGUGCUCCCUCUGCGUUCUGAAAAUCUAAGAAAUGAAAACAACAGGUUGUGUCAGCCAUCCAUUUCUGUAGAAUAACUACUUCAAAACUUAGUGGCUUUAAACACCAACAAUGUAUUAUUUCUCAUGAUUUUGUGCGGUUCUGCUCCCCAUGGCACUGCUGAGGUGUUUUUAUUCAUGCAGCCACAUUCAGGGGGAUCCUUGGCUGGGGCUGUUUUCUCCAUGAAGUGUCGCAUCCUCCUGUGUCCCUAGCAGGAUAGCCUGGACUCUCAUGCAGCACAGCAACUGCACCCAAGAGGGAACAUUCCAAGAGGACAAGCCCUGUUGUGGAAAAGUGGAUCCAGCCUGCUUGUAUCAAUGCACCUCAUUCCGGAUAUUAUUUGCUUUGUCUCUUAAUCUACAAUGAGCAUUUUCUCUGGGAGUAAAUAUUCUUUCCAGCCUGAAUUUUAAUGGCUGGCCGAUGGUCCAUCAUUGACUUAACCAGUCCCCUAUUGAUGAAUAUUUAUCAUCAUAUAAAAGGUGGCUUUCAUUUGGAGGCAGUUACAAACAACUUCGCAAAGAUCGACUUCGUACCAAGAACUCGGUACAAAUCCUUGGAGGAGAGGGAUGACAGGCUCAAAGGACAGGGGCAUUUUUAAGACUGCCAAGUCAUUCUUCAAAACCAUCGUCCAUGUUGCACUUCUACCAGCUGUAAAGGGACCCACCCGUUUCACAGUC